GGUCUUCUCCGUCCAUCCACCUGAAGCCCACAAUUGAUUAUGGAGAUCAUCAUCCGAAAUCUUCAACCAAAUCAUUUCAACACAAGGCCCUCAACCCCGAAAUUCGAUGAGAAAAACUUUUCAACAUUUUGUCACUGAAAUACGGUUCGCAUAAUAUAAUGGAGUUCGGGUAAACCUGGUCUGAAAUUUGAUUACGAAAGGGCUCACAAAUGAUUUUACUAGUCUUAGUUAAUUAAGCUCGAGGAUAAUGGGGCAAUAGUUGUAAUUACAAAAGUUAUGGGUCAUAUUUAAAACAUAAUAAAAAUAUAAGGACCAUAAACUAAAAAGUUUCAGUGUAUCUUGCAUCACCGAGGCAAGUAUGCCAGUAGCCUCUCCAAGCAUUUCAACAAUCUUUGCCUUCCACCCGAAGGAAAGCCAAUCCUAUAAAGAGGGACGAAAUCAGAUGUAACUUAGCUUGCACAUCCCCGAAAACACCAAUAUUCUUAAAGAUUCCACAUUAUUUCCUGAAUAAAGAAGAACCAAAAGGAACAUGGGGUUCCCUUACCUCGCCAACAAAAGUCAAGUAAGUACCAAUAUUAAGAGCACGCCCAUGACAAUUUUUGCUAUCUUUUUAUUUUUUUGUACGAAUACUCUUCAGAUCUUUUUCAGUUGAUGUCAAUCCAAACUUUAAUCAUGAGUCUAUCACAAUGUUGUUGAAGUACAUAAAACAAGGAUUUAUAAACGAGUUAGGAGAAUUUUAAACCACAAAAGUAACAUAGUUUCACAGAAUUGUAUCAAAAUAUCAUUAUUGUUGUUAUAUGUAUUCAUGAAGUGAAAAAAUAUUAAAAUCUUAUAAAUAAUCAGUUUUAUACACAAAAAUAUAUAAAUUGAUAUUUCGAGUUACAAAUGAAUCUAACCAUAAAAAUUGUAACUACAUAUUAUGGAUCUAAUUUUCUUAACAAUACAAGAAUAAACAAAUAGUAAAUAUAAAUUAGCAUAAAGAACAAUCAAUAUAAAUUUUUCUUAACAAUUUUCACAACAAACCCACGCAUAGCGUGGGUACUCAUCUAGUACUAUUAAAUCCUAGAUCAUCUUGAAUUUUUACUACAUUCACCUGACCCCUACAGUCUUCCUAAAUGUGAGAGAGAGGAAUAACCAAUUAAGGAGGGAGGGAUAAGUUACGGGAAAAAGUAGCAAAUGAACGCUAGAAUGUAUCUUACAACAAGAUACCAAGGAGUCUCCUUUUGAUGUAACAGAAUCGUUAGAGACUUCUCUAUCAAACUACCACCGUCCAACUCGAUCAUACAAUCCAGUUUAGCCUGAAGUAUAAGUGUAAUGACAACAUCAGAAAAGUAAGCGCACAUGACAUGAUGCCAAGUUUACAAAAGCAAUCUUUACCUUUUCCUCAACAAAAGCACCAAAAAGACCAUUGUGUUUGCAGUCGAGGGGAGCUGCGGAACCAACUCUUCCGGAUACCAAAACAAGGAGAUUCGUGGUGUUUUUUGCAAGCAAAUCAUCUGAAAAAAACUAAAAAGGAUUAUAUUAAUCCAAAACCAAUGCAGAUGAAAAAUAACCAGAAGUCGAAUUAUUAAACAAAAACAUAUACCUAACGAUUUCAAGCCGUCCACACGGGUAAUACGUCAGCCCAAAGAGUUAACUCUCCUGAGCCAUCAUA
rnacentral:sRNA from 1 species